ensembl:snoRNA
AUCUUUUCAUAGUCAUAAGUGUGGGGAUUGUGUUUCCAGGCUCACCUGAGAUGUGCCUCCCUCAAAUUUUAUGACAUCAGCACAUUACCCAUCUGAUG